rnacentral:snRNA from 1 species
GUGCUCACUUCGGCAGCACAUAUACUGAAAUUGAAACAAUACAGAGAAGAAUUAGCAUGGCUCCUGUGCAAGGAUGACAUGCAAAUUCGUGAAGCGUUCCAUAUUAAA